CUAAUCAUGUAAAGGACCCUCAGAUGGGACAGGCUAUUGGACAACUUUCCUGGUUCAUGAAGUGGAAUUUCCUUUUUGAGUAGUUUCUUGCAUGGUGUAUUCCAAUAGGUCAAACCCAGACCUACUGUUUGCAAACAGGCCAUCUGUAGAGAAUACAAUCUCUGGACUGCCCAGGACUUGUUGCUUGUCUUUCAUUUCAUUUUAAAUACAAAGCUCUUCCUUUAGCAUUCACCUUGAAGUCAAGGUGUUGGCUGCCACAUGCCAUGUCCUCUUAACAAGAUAAGAAAACAGUGGCUAUGGAGCCCUCACAGCUGGGAAGCUGACAUUCUAUACUUCCAUAUGAGAAAAAGGACAUUGGAAAGUUGCUUUAUUUCUGGGCAGCGUAGACUAAAGUUACUUUUCACAAGGCUGAUGCAUCCAGCCUCCCCCAGUUGUCCAAGUUGGUGCAGACAUGAAUUGAUGAAUGGAAACACUUUCCUUUGGCCUAGGGCCACCUAGAAUUGGUCUCUGGUUAUUUGUAAAACAAAAAGUAGAACUUGCUUCCAUUUUCAGAUGGACUAGGGAAUACUAUAAUUAGACAGCUUUGCAAUGAAUUAACAAAUACUGAAAAGUUGGAAAUGUGUAUAUACUGAAAUCUCACCAACUUUUACCUGGGGUGGGGUACCAGGAGAAAGGGAACCCCCUUUCUCCUGGUAAAGGGUAAGGGGGGGGAUAAUGUUUACCACAGGUACGAAAUAGUCACUUUAACAUUGAGACCUCUGCCUCAUUGAAUUCAGGUUUUUUAAGUACUUGAAACUCUUCAGAUUCUCCUUAUUUUAGUUUCUUUUUACAUUUAUGAAGUAGAAAGCAUUGUUUUGUAAACUGUUUUGAAAAUAAAUAGCCUAGUCUCUUAUCCUCUUUAGCGUGGAUUAAAGGUGAAGUUCUGCAAAUGGGAGAGUGUUCACAGUAGAUAGCUCAGAUUGAUUGAACACAUUUGAGGAAGAGACUCCUGCAUGAGAUACCAGCAUUUUUACAAAUACUUUUUAUGUACAUUCUUUAUUUUGUCAUUUUGUCAACCCUCUCCCCAAGCACAUCUUCUUUCCUUUUACUAUGUCUAUGUAGGGAAAAAAACAAAACAAAAAAUUGCACUUACGUUACACUCCCAAAAUGUGGGUAAUCCGUGUCUUUCAAAAAACAUUUCUGUUUUUUGUUUUGUUUUGGUCAGUCCAUUGCAUAAGUGACAAGUUUGGGUGCUUGUGGCACGUAUGUAUGAAGCGGGAGGGGGAUGAGAAUUGCCUGUCCUUCAGUAGGCUGUAAAAGUAAUUUACAUGUAAGUAAAAAGGGAAAAUAGAAUAGAUGCCAAAGUCAUUUAUUCAGUCCUUAGUUUUCUUAUGUGGCAUUACUGCAUCUGCUAGUUAGUGAGAAAGCACCCUCAGCUUUUACUGCUCCCCUCCCUGCCUGCCAACACACUUGAUGUGUGCAAACAGCCCUCAAGUAUCUGUCAGAUGACCUAUAUAAGGUAUUGAAUAAGGUAUUCUUGUCAGUUUAGAAAUGGACUGGAUAAAACUUACUUGGUUGUCAUUAUUUUAUCUCAUUUGUCCUGUUACAUGCCCUAUGUUAAGAUAAUUAUAUUGCCACUAAUAAUCAAGAUGCUAAAUGAGUAUUACAACUGGCUAAUAUCAUUUUUUAUAUACAAGGGUAUGUGUAUAUUUGGAAUUGAUAUGAGAAACUCAUUUGUACCCAUUUGAGUGAUAUUGCACAACAAACACAGAUACCUACAGACUCCGUUUUCAUUUUCUCGUGUUCUUUAUGAUAAUGAUCUUUGUAGAUUGGUUAUUUCUGUACUUUAUCUGUAAUAAACUUUGUAGAUCCUGUGAACCAUUACUUUGCCUAAAUCACUUGAGACUUGAGUCUUUAAUAACAAAGCAUCAAUAUUCACUAAAGUCAAUCUCUUUUGAGUUUCUGUGACUUGGCUAGAAGCUCUUGACACUAAGGGAUUAGUGUUAAUUUUCCCUGGGGGUGUUCCACUAGGGCAUUACUGUAUAAUGACUUGAUGUUGCCACAUAGACUUCAAGAUAUAUAAUAUUUUGAGGAUUUUGUUGAUUGGCCUAUGUUUUAUUGCAUAGUGUGAAACGUGUAAAGCUUGGUUAACCUGUAUAUAGAUAGCUUAUUGUUGACUAGUUAUAGUGUAUUUAGGGUUGCCUGUAAUAUUUAAGCUUCUUUACUGAUGUGUGUGCUGGUAGGAACAUAUAAUUUUUGUACAUUAUAUUUACUGAGAUGUUGCCUUUUUUAUUUUACAAAUACUUUGGAAUUCCAAUGUGUUUUUUGCUUCCGUGAGGAUUAAUUUGGAAAGGUUUUUAAUGACAUUCCACUGAUUUCAGAUUUUGCUUGAGAUUGACUUCAAUAAAUUGUCCUGUAUGUUCCAAAUUAAA
rnacentral:lncRNA from 1 species